GGUCCGGCCGGGCCUUUCCCUCUGUGGAACCCCAUGCCCUUCACUGGGUGUGGCGGGGAAACAGGACUUUUACUGUGAAAAAAUUAGAGUGCUCCAGGCAGGCCUAUGCUCGAAUACAUUAGCAUGGAAUAAUAGAAUAGGACGUGUGGUUCUAUUUUGUUGGUUUCUAGGACCGCCGUAAUGAUUAAUAGGGACAGUCGGGGGCAUCAGUAUUCAAUUGUCAGAGGUGAAAUUCUUGGAUUUAUUGAAGACUAACUACUGCGAAAGCAUUUGCCAAGGAUGUUUUCAUUAAUCAGGAACGAAAGUUAGGGGAUCGAAGACGAUCAGAUACCGUCGUAGUCUUAACCAUAAACUAUGCCGACUAGGGAUCGGACGGUGUUAUAUUUUGACCUGUUCGGCACCUUACGAGAAAUCAAAGUGCUUGGGCUCCAGGGGGAGUAUGGUCGCAAGGCUGAAACUUAAAGAAAUUGACGGAAGGGCACCACCAGGGGUAAACUACAACGGUUUCUCGAAAGCCGCAGUUAACUCUGCUCCUAAAAGCCGCUCUAACGAGUUGAUGGUGUUCCCUGGCUCAGGCCUAAACUAAUGGCUAGUCUCCUCGGAGGCGACAUCCUCAAACUGCGGGAAACUCCUAAAGCUCACACUACCAAGCAGGCCUCGAAAGAGAGCUCUGUGGCCGGGGUAACGACCUAGGGUACGGUAAAAACGUGUGAGAUGCUACAGUGGACGAUCCGCAGCCAAGCCCCUACGUGCGCCAGCAUACGGGGAAGGUUCAGAGACUUGACGGGGGUGGGUGGGCUACAGGCCUGCCUAAGAUAAAGUCCGGCCCCGCGUGAAAGCGCUGGGGGUUACAACUGCUUCUGCACUAUUCGAAAUACUGCAUCGAGGCCCCAGUAAAACGGGAGCCUGCGGCUUAAU
rnacentral:rRNA from 1 species